UAGUCCACGCCGUAAACGAUGGAUACUAGCUGUCCGAGUCCUUGAGACUUGGGCGGCCAAGCGAAAGUGAUAAGUAUCCCACCUGGGGAGUACGUUCGCAAGAAUGAAACUCAAAGGAAUUGACGGGGGCCCGCACAAGCGGUGGAGCAUGUGGUUUAAUUCGAUGAUACGCGAGGAACCUUACCAGGGCUUAAAUGUAGAUUGACAGGACUAGAGAUAGUUUUUCCUUCGGGCAAUUUACAAGGUGCUGCAUGGUUGUCGUCAGCUCGUGCCGUGAGGUGUCAGGUUAAGUCCUAUAACGAGCGCAACCCCUGUUGUUAGUUGCCAGCGAUUCAAGUCGGGGACUCUAACAAGACUGCCGGUGCAAACCGUGAGGAAGGUGGGGAUGACGUCAAAUCAUCACGGCCCUUACGUCCUGGGCCACACACGUGCUACAAUGGCCGGUACAGAGAGCAGCCAUGCUGCAAAGCAGAGCGAAUCUAAAAAGCCGGUCACAGUUCGGAUCGGGUCG
rnacentral:rRNA from 1 species